UUGAACGCUGGCGGCAUGCUUUACACAUGCAAGUCGAACGGUAGACCCUUUCGGGGGUUGAGAGUGGCGAACGGGUGAGUAAUGCAUCGGAACAUACCCAGUCGUGGGGGAUAACGUAGCGAAAGUUACGCUAGUACCGCAUGAGUCCUGAGGGAGAAAGCGGGGGAUCGCAAGACCUCGCGCGAUUGGAGUGGCCGAUGUCAGAUUAGCUAGUUGGUGGGGUAAAGGCCUACCAAGGCGACGAUCUGUAGCGGGUCUGAGAGGAUGAUCCGCCACACUGGGACUGAGACACGGCCCAGACUCCUACGGGAGGCAGCAGUGGGGAAUUUUGGACAAUGGGCGAAAGCCUGAUCCAGCCAUGCCGCGUGCGGGAAGAAGGCCUUCGGGUUGUAAACCGCUUUCAGCAGGAACGAAACGGUGGCUACUAAUACUAGCUACUAAUGACGGUACCUGAAGAAGAAGCACCGGCUAGCUACGU
rnacentral:rRNA from 1 species